rnacentral:SRP_RNA from 1 species
GCCAGGUGCGGUGGCGCGCGCCUGUAAUCCAAGCUACCGGGAGGCUGAGGCUGGCGGAUCGUUUGAGCUCAGGAGCUCUGAGCUGCAGCGGACUAUGCCGAUCGGGUGUCCGCACUAAGUUCGGCAUCGAUAUGGUGCUCCUGGGGGAGCUCGGGACCACCAGGUCGCCUAAGGAGGGGUGCACCGGCCCAGGUCGGAAACGGAGCAGGUCAAAGCCCCCGUGCCGCUCAGUAGUGGGAUCGCGCCUGUGAAUAGACGCUGUAGUGCAGUGAGUAAUACAGCGGGACCCAGUCUUU